UACGAAGGGGGCUAGCGUUGCUCGGAAUUACUGGGCGUAAAGGGCGCGUAGGCGGCACUGUUAGUCAGGCGUGAAAGUCCUGGGCUCAACCUGGGAACUGCGCUUGAUACGGCAGAGCUAGAGGAUGGAAGAGGGUCGCGGAAUUCCCAGUGUAGAGGUGAAAUUCGUAGAUAUUGGGAAGAACACCGGUGGCGAAGGCGGCGACCUGGUCCAUUACUGACGCUCAGGCGCGAUAGCGUGGGGAUCAAACAGG
rnacentral:rRNA from 1 species